rnacentral:misc_RNA from 1 species
GGCUCCGUGCUCGUCCACCGAACGGUCUGCAGGCAAUCCCCGUCGCGUGCUGUGGGGCGGCAAAGUUGCCCCGGAGGCUGGUUCUUGUGUUGCCUACCCCUUCGGGGAAGCAGGCCGCUUGACGGUUAGCCUCCAUCCGGCGCCCCCCGGUGGGCGCAGGAGGACAGCGAAGCACCCCCCGUGUUCCACCGAGCCCUGAGCGGUCGCGUGGCCCGCGGGGACGUGCGAUUCUCUCGGACCCAGUGCACUCAACGGACGAGGACCCGGUCCAAGUCCUGAGAGAAGCUUCGAUACAGUGUAUGACGGCCGCUCUCGCCCCUCGACCGCCCCGGCGGCGAAAGGGCGACGCGCGACUCGCGGAGGACUGUUACCUGGUUGAUCCUGCCAGUAGUCAUAUGCUUGUCUC